rnacentral:rRNA from 1 species
GCUGCAGCCAUGCCGCGUGUGUGUAGAGCCUAUAUGGUCUGGAAGCACUUUUCGCGAGGAGGAGGCUACUCUAGUUCAUACCUAAGGAUAGUGGACGUUACUCGCAGAAUAAGCCCCGGCUAUAUCUGUGCCAGCAGCCGCGGUAAU